rnacentral:rRNA from 1 species
UACGUAGGGUGCAAGCGUUAAUCGGAAUUACUGGGCGUAAAGCGUGCGCAGGCGGUUUUGUAAGUCAGAUGUGAAAUCCCCGGGCUUAACCUGGGAACUGCGUUUGAAACUACAAGGCUAGAGUGUGGCAGAGGGGGGUGGAAUUCCACGUGUAGCAGGUGAAAUGCGUAGAGAUGUGGAGGAACACCGAUGGCGAAGGCAGCCCCCCUGGGUUAACACUGACGCUCAGGCACGAAAGCGUGGGGAGCAAACAGG